UACAGAAACAGGAAGCCAAAUAGAUUCAGGGUUUGUUUUGUUUCCUGGGAGAAAAACUACCUAGAAACUGGUCCUUUUUACUACCCAGUUCACAGUAUUUCCUGAGAUUAAUAAUGAUAUCUUGCAUUUGGGUGAUGCUUCAAAAUGUUUUCUUAAAGGUCUGUGUCAGAGAUUAGCUCACUUGACUCUCUAUUUUACAAUAAGGAAACUAAAGCUCAGAGAGGCAAAAGCUUGCCCAAUGUAUCACAUUCAGGAAAUGGGACCUCACAGAAGGGUACCCAGGCUUUCUAAUUUCGUAAGCCCUCUCAUCACACAGAGAAGACGGCAGAUCUACACCACUGAAAGGACAAAAGACAAAAGAAUGCUUGUGCCUCUGCCAGCCUAAUCCCUGGAAAUAAGACUUCUUUACUUCCGAGCGUUUUCCUGGGUCCUGCCUCGCAUCUGACCAGGGCAGGUGGCCUCCUCAUCACACUGCUGCCUCUGCUGUUGGCCCUGCUCAUGAAGCCACUAAACAUAUGGUCUCAGCUCUCUUGUCCUCCAAGAAAGACAACCACCACUGCUGCCUUUCUGAUCUCACGUAAGCCUGACCCUUGCUCUCCUCCAUCCAAAAAAUGAGAUAGACCCCUCCCUAACUUCCCACAGCACAACUAAGACCAGGUUAACAUGUUAACUAGACUUUAUUAAAGGUUUGGGCACCAUGGAAGGAAAGUACAACAAAGGCAGUAACUUACUAUUGCUAUAAAAGUGGUUAUUCUUCAAGUAGACAGGACCUCAGAUCUCUCAUUGGUCCAGCUUCAGGCUGGCUGACAUCUUGCCAGGAAUGUCUCAGCAUAGCCAUGACUCAGAGCCCCUUCCAAAUUCCUAGGACCAAAGAGAAGAUGCUGUUCACCUCGAUCUAAGGCCCUAGGUCCUCAUUUCUUGCCUCCCAUUGGAGCUCAUCCAAGAUGGUUGACAAUGAGAAGAUAAACUCUCUUCAAGGAAAACUCCACACCUAGCCAAGAAGCUGUGAUUUUGCUUUAGGAACCAUUGAAACUCAUAACCCUAUAACACCAUAACCCAACAGAGUUUUUCUGCCUUAAGUAAUACCUCAUGUGAAUGCAGUCAUUCAGGUAAGUGUGUGCCAGCCUUAGCCAGUCUAGCUUCUUUUUAGUAGUAACAUGAAGUGGAGGAAGAAUUGGGCCUGUAAGACCUUCAUACCAUCUUCUCUAUCCUUGUUUUCCAUUUCAAAUACUCAUAGAGCGAGACAGACGACUCUGCAAAUAUGCAGUCCUUGGUACUUAUAGUAUGGCUCACAUCCAGUUUGUGAACAGAAACAUUUUCUUAAAACACAUCUGUGAAAGCUCUUCUAAAAAAUUUCCCAAUUUACAUUAUUAAACCUUAACUUUCCAUUCUGAAGCAUUUUCUUUGGAAGUUUUUCAUCGAGUUCAGGUUUUUCUUCCAAACAAUGAUUUGGUACUCUUCUCAUUUUUCCCUAGGAACAAAGUAACAGGCUUCCUCAAGGACUCCAGCCAGAAUGUAGGACUUUCUCUUAAUUUUAAAAGUCUUGUGGAGACUGUAAAUAGCAGAGACACCAGUGUGAAGAGGGGGCCACGAAGUUUUAAAAAAUCUCAAGUUUUAGAAUCCAGAGGAUCCUUUAAGAAACUACUCUAAAAUUCAAUGGCUGCCUUAAAACAACAUGAUUUAUUCUCAUGAGUCUCAGUUGGGUGAGGCUGGGCUCCAGAGUCUGGGUUGUGAGCUGCAGGCUGCAUGUUGUGUUCAGGCCUGCCACGUGUGUCUCAUUCUGAGGCCUAGGCUGAGGUUCAGUGGCUACUGAAGCAUAUUCUUCUCAUGGCAGAUCCCCUCAGCUCAAAAGCUUACCUCAAGUGCACAAGCACAUUUCAAGCUUCUACUUGAGCCACGCCCGCUAACAUCCUAUCUGUCAAAGGAAGACAUAUGGCUAAGCCUAGUGUCAAGAGGUGGGGAAGCUCACUUAGCCCUCCCCUCCACAAAGCUGUUACACUUCUAUUACAGAAUUCUAUUACAGAGGAGCGGUAAUUAUGUCUAGUAGUUCAAUUUCCUUUCCUGGACCACCGCAGACUUUGCCUAGUUCUCUAACUACUCUCUCUUGUGUCCAGCCUUGCCCCACAUGCUCAUCAUUUAUACCUGAUUUGGUCACUCCUCUGCUUAAAUCAAUACUUCCAUUACAUGAAGAAUUGAAACUUUUUAGUAAGACCAAUGAGUUCAUCCCGGUUAGUUCUAUAACGUGUUUUAUUUCCAUUAGUCACUCUCUCUCUCUCUCUCUCCCCUCACCCUCUAAAGCUUUGCUUCCAUCUACCUGUUACUUCUCUGAACAUCUAAACGUUUUUAAGGCUUGUGGUUUUAUGCGUGUUAUUUCUUCUCCAGAAAUUUACUUUAUUUAUCAAACAAAAGUUUAUUAAAUGUCCGUGAUGUGCCAGGCACCUGGAAAGAUUAGAGGUACGUUGGAGAACAAAUUAGAAUUUGGUCCUUCCCUCGGAGAGCUUACGGGAGAGUGAGGAAAUGCACCUGCCCAGCCUUUUUGCCACAGUGAACAUGAGUCAUCUUUUAGGAUGCAGAUGUGAUCACCUAUGCCUUUCUCUGUUUUCCCCAGAGGGAGUUAAGUUUUUCCUUUUUAAUGUUCUCAUACCACUUUGCAUCAGUGCAGCUAAAUAAUAUUUUGAGAUACAAAUUAAUGCUUUUUUUUCUUUCUGUAUUUCCCCCUUUCCCCUCCUCCCUAUUCUUUGUCUAAGGAUGUUUUGGGGAAAGAAGCCUCCUUGCCUCUCCAAAAAACCACAUAAAGCCAUCGGGACCAUUUUCCUAGGUGACUGUAGGAGAAAUAUCAAGAUAAAGUGAUGUGCAACCAGCAGGGGAGAAUCCAGGUGAAAGUGGUGAAGAACAUGGGAACCUCUCUCCCAGGUGAAAAGAAUUUCCUGGCCUGGGGAAAGAAGGAAGAGAAAGAGAUCUGUAGGUCCUGGGAGCAGAGAGGACCUCUAUGCUCCUUUCGGCAAUGCCCUGAAUAUGAUCAGUAAUAGUAACAACAAUGACAAUAGCAACAGCAAUGAUAAUGAGAGCAGCUGACUGCUACUGAACACUGACUAUGUACCAGGAAUUGUGCUAAGUACUUUAUGUUACAUUACCUCAAUUUUGUCCUCACAACAACUCUGGGAGGUAGGUAAUAUACAUAUCUCCACUUUACAGAUGAAAAUCUGAAGCUUAGGAAAUGGAAGAACAUCUGCCGGAGGUCACACAGACAUGGCACGUUCAUGAUGUGAAUCCAAGUGAUGCUGAAGUCAGCCUUCUUAAACAUUCACAAUUCUGCCCCUCUUCAGUGAGGCCUCCAAGACCAGCUGCCUGGGGAACUCAGGCAGAGAAAGCUAUCUGCAGCCAGACAAUCUUUUGAGAAUACAUCAGAGAAUGUAACAUGAAGACAUUUUUGGCAAAAUGUUCAUUAAUCACACUAUGUAAUUUCUAAGAGCAAAGGGUGCUAACAAACUGUAAUGACAAUCACUGCAGAAUUUAUCAAGAAAACAAUGGUGAUGACCAGAAAGAGGAAAUCCAUUCUCGGUAGAGGAAUGAUGCCGGAGAGAACGGCAACAAACGGGCUCAGCAGGAGAAGGCCUUACCACUGUCAAGGGCCAGAAAUCCAAUCACUGUCACCUGAGAGGAAAAUUAGCCAAAGAAUCAAGACUCCUCCUAGCAUUGAAGCAAUGUAACGUAAAUCAGAGCUGUUGUCGGUGUGUGUGAUGAUACAGCGACCCAGUUAGCACGCUGCCCUUCUUAGUCACUUCCUUCCUCUUCCUCCACCUCUUUCUGGUUCCUGAGCUUGGGUCCUGUGAGCUCUCCAAUUCUGUAGUCCCAUUCAUCUCAAGUAGAAUUUUUUUCUAUUGGAUAACUACCAAUGUUUACAGCUUUUAUUUGAAUUCAUGGAGAACGAUUAUGUCAGUAACCCAAAGUACCUGCCUAAACUUACAAGUCUGAACUAAAACUGUAAAGCAUUUGAGGAAAAGCACAGUUCUCAGGCUCAUUCCUUCGUUCACUCACAGACCAUCCAGUCUCCAUCUAUUGUUUACUAUAUGUUGGGCUCUGCUCUAGGCGCUGGAUUCGCAGAUUCGCUGGGAAGACAGACAUGUGAAUAAAUUCUCUGUGCAAUAUCACGGGCGCUAGAACACAGGCCUUCUACAGGUCCAAGAGCACAGAAGGGGGAAGGUAAUACAGAAAAGAGGGGAGGACGUUUGAGCUGGAUCUGGAGGAGGAUAAUGAGUUUGUCAACUGGCUCAGGGAGAAAAAGCCACCUUGGGAAAAAGAACAGCAUUUUCAAAAACCUAGUAUCAUGAAAGAGCAUUGUGUAUUUACGGAUUGGGAAGUGAUUCCAUGUAUUAGGGUGGAGUGUGGGAAGAGAAGAGUGGGAGAUGAAGCAGGGAAGAAAGCAAGGCUGUGAUUGGCUCUGUAUGCUGUACUUAACCAUUGAGAGAUUUUUACAGAUUUUACUGAUAGGGUUAGUUUUUGAUGGAAGCUAGUUAUUCUGUUGGCUACUUGGGCACUCUUGUGAAUAUGCUAUUUCUCUUCUCUGAUGGCCAAAUGAUGCUAGUGCCAGGGUGGGGACAGCUGAACCCAGCAGGAGAAAAACUAGAUAGGGUGCAGAGCUGGCCGGUUUCUACUAUAUAGAUCCGCACAUGAUGGUAUCCAGGAAUGCUCUUGACUGACUUGGAUUUGGCAUGUGUGUGUGCAUGAUGAUAUUUGGGUCUAUAAUGGGCUGGGGUGGAGGAUAAAUCCUGGAGCUCACUCAGGUACUAGAAAUUCUUAAUUACGCUUGUGCUCACGACUAUGCCAACAGAGUUGCCCUUCAGGUUCCCUCGAGACAUGAGUAAUAGGUGUAAUAUGUGAAUGUUUCUCUGACCUCCCCCUCCCUCAGUAAAUGGGGGAGUAUUUUAGUCCAAGAGAAAAAGGGAAACACAGAGGAACUGGUGUGAGAGAUAAAAUCCUUGAAAAAAAGUCCUUGUUAGUUUUUCUCAAAGGUUUAAUCUUUUUUCUCGAAAUUAGUCAGCAUGGCAGAGUGGUUAAGAGCAAACUUUGGAAGGAGAUUAUUUUAGGCUCUUAUUCUGACUCUAUCAAUUAACAGCUGUGGGACCUGUGGCAAGUCAGGCAGCAUCUCUUAACCUAAUUUCUCACCUGUAAACUGGGCAAAAUAACACCUAUGUGCAGAGUAGUAAGAAUCAAAUGAAGAAAUGAGUGGAAAGUACUUAGCAUAAUACCCAUCACGUGGUAAUCGUGGACUCCAUUAGUCUUUGUGAGAGAUUUCCUAUCAAGCAUCUUUUUGGAUCUGAUGGUACCAGCUUUGCUUUGUAAAUAAACUUUUUCUUGCCUGUU